rnacentral:rRNA from 1 species
UACGGGGGGGGCAAGCGUUGUUCGGAAUUACUGGGCGUAAAGGGCUCGUAGGUGGCCAACUAAGUCAGACGUGAAAUCCCUCGGCUCAACCGGGGAACUGCGUCUGAUACUGGGUGGCUUGAAUCCGGGAGAGGGAUGCGGAAUUCCAGGUGUAGCGGUGAAAUGCGUAGAUAUCUGGAGGAACACCGGUGGCGAAGGCGGCAUCCUGGACCGGCAUUGACGCUGAGGCGCGAAAGCCAGGGGAGCAAACGGG